AUUGAACGCUGGCGGCAUGCCUUACACAUGCAAGUCGAACGGCAGCACGGGAGCUUGCUCCUGGUGGCGAGUGGCGAACGGGUGAGUAAUGCAUCGGAACGUGCCCUGAAGUGGGGGAUAACGUAGCGAAAGUUACGCUAAUACCGCAUAUUCUGUGAGCAGGAAAGCAGGGGAUCUUCGGACCUUGCGCUUUUGGAGCGGCCGAUGUCGGAUUAGCUAGUUGGUGGGGUAAAGGCCCACCAAGGCGACGAUCCGUAGCGGGUCUGAGAGGAUGAUCAGCCACACUGGGACUGAGACACGGCCCAGACUCCUACGGGAGGCAGCAGUGGGGAAUAUUGGACAAUGGGCGAAAGCCUGAUCCAGCAAUGCCGCGUGAGUG
rnacentral:rRNA from 1 species